rnacentral:tRNA from 1 species
GCCCGGGUGGUGGAAUGGUAUACACGCAAGACUUAAAAUCUUGUGCCAGCAAUGGCUUGUGGGUUCGAGUCCCACCCCGGGCA